AGUGAACGCUGGCGGCAGGCCUAACACAUGCAAGUCGAACGGCAGCACAGUAAGAGCUUGCUCUUACGGGUGGCGAGUGGCGGGCGGGUGAGGAAUACAUCGGAAUCUACUUUUUCGGGGGGCUUAAGGAAGGUAAACUUACUACAGUACAGCAUCCGCCGUAGGGUGGAAGGCGGGGGAACUUCGGGCCUGGGGGGAUUGAAUGAGCGGCUGUCGAAUUAGCUGGUGGGGGGGGUAAAGGCCAACCAAGCCGACGAUCCGUAGCUGGUCUGAGAGGAUGAUCAGCCACACUGGAACUGAGACACGGUCCAGACUCCUACGGGAGGCAGCAGUGGGGAAUAUUGGACAAUGGGCGCAAGCCUGAUCCAGCCAUACCGCGUGUGUGAAGAAGGCCUUCGGGUUGUAAAGCCCUUUUGUUGGGAAAGAAAAGCAGCAGGUUAAUACCCCGCUGUUCUGACGGUACCCAAAGAAUAAGCACCGGCUAACUUCGUG
rnacentral:rRNA from 1 species